rnacentral:rRNA from 1 species
UACGAAGGGGGCGAGCGUUGUUCGGAUUUACUGGGCGUAAAGGGCGCGUAGGCGGCCUUGUCAGUCAGGCGUGAAAGCCCCGGGCUCAACCUGGGAACGGCGCUCGGGACGGCGAGGCUGGAGUUCGGGAGAGGAGAGUGGAAUUCCCAGUGUAGAGGUGAAAUUCGUAGAUAUUGGGAAGAACACCGGUGGCGAAGGCGGCUCUCUGGACCGACACUGACGCUGAGGCGCGAAAGCGUGGGGAGCAAACAGG